rnacentral:lncRNA from 1 species
GGAUGCCACAACAGCUACAAGGACCUUCAGGUUGGUGCCCGCCCUGAUCCCCCUUAGGGACAAACACCAAAGACUCCUUACCUGCCAAAAAAAACCAAGGUCAUUUGUUUUAUUUCCUCUAAACUUAUAAUUUUAUUAUUUUAAUAUUUUAUUUUCUUUUACCUUUUAAUUUCCUUUAACCUUUUAAUUUCUUUUAUUGUUUUAUAUUGCAGACGCCCGUUUUAACAUGAGUAUUCCCUUAAAAAACAGGUUCGCAGCUCUUUCUCCACCGGAGGCACCGGGGGGCGCGUACCACCCGCCAGCCGCACCCGCAGUUGCUACGGGAGUCCGGGACAGCCUUUGGGUACAGAGACACAUUAAACUGUAUUUUAAGGCCAUACAAAUCAUCCACCAUUCAGACAUCAUCUCCAAUGCUAAAAUAAAUAAAACUAUUCCCCCAGGCAUGCACAGGAAAGCCACCAAACUCACACACUUCAUCAAACCCACUUCCCCUAGUGAGGAGGUUUUACAAAGGGUAAAAGAAAACACAGACAUCUGGCUGGAAAAUAACCUGGACAUUUUACUUCACCAUUACGACACCACCCUCAAUAAUAUCAGAAAACAAUUCACCACAUUUCAGCCAGAAGCAUGGAACAAAGCAAUAAAAUGGGCACAUAGACGAUUUGGACGCAAACUCACACAACAAACCAUCGACACCACAAAAAUAAUAGCACAGGAACAGGAAACAGUAGGGACAACAACACAAAACACAUUUUCAGAAGAGGAUUUUCCUCCUCUGCCAGCACCUGCAAUUCAGGUGGCUGUAACCAAUCCAGGCCCUGAAAGAAACAAGGAACAAAAAGAAAUCAGAAAAAACAAAAACACCCCAAAAAUACAUCUUGAGGGAAAGUACACACAGAAAACAAAAGCCGACAUCCAUUUUUCAAAAAACGUACCUGAUCUCUCCUCACAGGAGGAAAAAACUCCCACUCCUGCCCCCGUGACCCCUCUGGAACCCACUCCUAGCGCUCCACAGUUGCUGGUGGCCCCUGGGAACCUGGCAAUAAACCUACCAGUAACCCAAACUGUCAAACCCAAUCUGACCACCAGAGGGAACCAAAGUACAACCAUCAAACAAAUAAAUUUCAAUCACAGUAAUGUAGCAAUUCCGGAAGCAAAUAUUAACUCACUCACACUCUUGUCUUCUCAACCCCUGGUUACAGAUCCAUCAGAAGAGAGCGUGGAGGGGCCUGGGGAUCCGGACACGGGCACUGAGAGCACCCGUGUUGCCAAAAGGGUGGAUCAAACAAAUGAUGUAAUGCUACAGGGCCUUACAAAGAGCACAUGCUCAUUGGCCCUGGACACUGCUGAGAUCCACCCGAGCGAACCACCAGCCCG